CUGGGGGAAAUUCCUACUCCAGAGUUGAAAAUGGCGAUGGACGGGUUGUCCACGUCUCAAUCCGGACUUUCGUAUGCUGGGGAUUUUUACCCUAGAAAAUUUGGUCCCAAACCGGACGUGGUACCGUCCGGUAUUACGGAGAGGAAAGUUGGCCCACUCGAUAAACCUGACAUGGUUGCGGUGGACGUCAUUAACAUCCAGGAUUCAGAUAUUCCAUUGCACAGGAAAAAGCAAGAACAUGACACCUAUGUUUUGGGUACUAUUCACCCUUUCCGGAAGACUCACAGAUCCUUGUUUGGUAAACUCUUGCAAGAAUUCCGCUUGGUGACUUCAGAAAGAAGGGUGAGUUUGUGUGCACUUGCAACCUUAAAGACAGCAUUAUUCCUUGUAAACAUGUGUAUUGUAUUGUAUAAUCUUAAAUGCUGACUU